rnacentral:snRNA from 1 species
CAAGAUCCCCCGAAACACUAAAAUUGGAACAAUACGGUUACACUGGCAUGGCCCCUGCGCAUGGACGACACGCAAAUUCGUGAAGUGUUCCAAGAAUUU